GGGCUUCCUCUGGGCCUCUUUCUUACUUUGCCAUCCACACUGCUCCUGGCUAACCCCAGCAAUAACCAACAAAUGGUAGGAAGCCCCACCUAUUGCUUUUUCUCAAUUAUGACUGCAUAGUUUGUGGAAACAAAGAUCUUGAGGAAGAUGAGGGAAGCCCUCCCCUCUUCAUAGUCCCCAUCUCUUCUCCUUUGUACCUGUCAACACCAGAGUUCAGUGUUUAAACAGACAGAAUAUAAAGUAUUGAGUAGGUGGUUCAUAUGCCGAAUCCACUUGGUAGGAAGAAACCACCAGCUUUAUAGUGUGCCUGAUAGAUUUUAAACAUUCCUGGGCACCCACUCAAGAGUGUUCUUUUUAUCACCUUCUGGAAAUCCCCAAAGUUGCAGGGGCCUCUGGAGUGUCUCUGCUCUAGAGAGAAUUGGUGGGACCCCCCUCAGUGCAGUGGCCCCAACUAGUGGAGGGAGAGAGGACUUAAGUCAGAUGGACUCAACAGAAAUGGGUUUCCAGAAGAAUAAUGAAAAGUUGUGGGUAGGAAAAUGAAUCAUUUGGACUCUUCAAUGAAAUGGAGUGAACCCAGGAGAGCUCA
rnacentral:lncRNA from 1 species